rnacentral:misc_RNA from 1 species
UCUAAAAAGAUGAACCACCCCGCCCAGCCAAAAAAGAAAAAACAAAUGCAUGUGUAUAUAAAACAAAUGCAUGUGUAUAUCUACAAUAGAAUUUAAUAUUGAUUAAUAGAAAAUAUGCUGAUGAAAACUAUUUGUGGUAUCACAGAAAUUAAGGUCAAACAUCAGCAUCAACAUUCUAGAGCCAAGACCUUAAAGAGAAUCAAUUUAAGGUAGUGAGAAUGGUACUUUGGUCCUG